AGGACGAACGCUGGCGGCGUGCCUAAUGCAUGCAAGUCGAGCGACGCACACCGGAGGGGUAACCCACCGGUAUGACGGAGCGGCGAACGGGUGAGUAACACGUGAGCAACCUGCCCCACAGAUCGGGAUAGCCCAGGGAAACCUGGAUUAAUACCGAAUAUCCUCGAGUGACCACAUGAUUGUUCGAGGAAAUGCCUUUGUGCUGUGGGAUGGGCUCGCGGCUUAUCAGCUAGUUGGUGGGGUAACGGCCUACCAAGGCAUCGACGAGUAGCUGGUCUGAGAGGACGAUCAGCCACACUGGGACUGAGACACGGCCCAGACUCCUACGGGAGGCAGCAGUCGGGAAUUUUGCGCAAUGGACGAAAGUCUGACGCAGCAACGCCGCGUGAGGGAUGAAGGCCUUCGGGUUGUAACCUCUUUAUCAGGGAGAUAAUGACGGUACCUGAUGAAUAAGUCACGGCUAACUACGUGCCAGCAGCCG
rnacentral:rRNA from 1 species